rnacentral:pre_miRNA from 1 species
GUCCUACUCCCUUCGUUCGGAAUUACUUGUCUCGGAAAUGGAUGUAUCUAGAAUUAAAAUACGUCUAGAUACAUCCAUUUUCGCGACAAGUAAUUUCAAACGGAGGGAGUAACAU